rnacentral:pre_miRNA from 1 species
AUCUCCUGGAUAUCUUGUUAAAAUGUAGAUUCUGAUGCAGUAGCCGUGAGGAGCUGCCUGAGAUUCCACAUUUCUAACAAGCUCCUAAGAGAGGUUGA